rnacentral:rRNA from 1 species
CCUANGGGAGGCAGCAGUCGAGAAUUUUUCACAAUGGGCGCAAGCCUGAUGGAGCGACGCCGCGUGGGGGAUGAAGGGUUUCGAUCCGUAAACCCCUGUCAUUUGCGAACAAACCUUGGUUGUUAACAGCGACCAAGCUGAUUGUAGCGAAAGAGGAAGGGACGGCUAACUCUGUGCCAGCAGCCGCGGUAAUACAGAGGUCCCAAGCGUUGUUCGGAUUCACUGGGCGUACAGGGAGCGUAGGCGGUUCGGUAAGCCCUUUGUGAAAUCUCCAGGCUUAACCUGGAACAGUCGGAGGGGACUGCCGGGCUAGAGGACGGGAGAGGAGCGCGGAAUUCCCGGUGUAGCGGUGAAAUGCGUAGAGAUCGGGAGGAAGGCCGGUGGCGAAGGCGGCGCUCUGGAACGUUUCUGACGCUGAGGCUCGAAAGCGUGGGGAGCAAACAGGAUUAGAUACCCCGNUANUC